rnacentral:rRNA from 1 species
UACGGGGGGGGCAAGCGUUGUUCGGAAUUACUGGGCGUAAAGGGCUCGUAGGCGGCCAAGUAAGUCGGAUGUGAAAUCCCCAGGCUCAACCUGGGAACUGCAUCCGAUACUGGAUGGCUUGAAUUCGGGAGAGGGAUGCAGAAUUCCAGGUGUAGCGGUGAAAUGCGUAGAUAUCUGGAGGAAUACCGGUGGCGAAGGCGGCAUCCUGGACCGACAUUGACGCUGAUGAGCGAAAGCCAGGGGAGCGAACGGG